GCACUCUAGCCAUGCAUGAAGUGUGUUGCCAGCCACAAGGGGUCACUCCCAGGAAGACUGAGUCUGCUAAGAAGUAAAAUCACAGGAAGGCUUGCUAUGAGGACUGGAACAGCCUCAGCCUUUUGUCACUUGGAUGCGACCAUGGCCACAUGGCUCCUCUGCUGUGUGGCUCUUUGUCUCCUGGGAGCAGGCUUUUCUGAUGAUGAAGUAACCCAGAUACCAAGACAUCUGAUAAAAUGGAAAGGACAGAAAGCAGAGAUGAGUUGUGUCCCUAAAAAAGGACAUAAUGCUCUUUACUGGUAUCAACAAAAGCAGAAUGAAGGGUUGAAGUUUUUGGUUUAUUUUCAGAACAGAGACAUUCUUCAUCAAACAGAUAAUUUCAAAGACCAGUUCUCAGCUGAAUAUCCCCAAGACUCACCCUGCAGCCUGGAAAUCAAGUCAUCUGAACCAGAGGACUCAGCCCUGUACCUCUGUGCUAGCAGUGAGUCCACAGUGCUGAAAUGUUCCUUCCUCUGAAUGCACAAACCCCAU